rnacentral:ncRNA from 13 species
CCGCAUGACAGGUGUUCGGUCCAGCCAGUUGAUUGGGAAGAACUACAAACCUAUACAUAUAUCCCAGGUCUCCUGGAGUAUUGUAUAGGUUUCUUCCUAUAUCAACUGGCUGGCUGUUCUGAGAUUAUACUGUCAAAACUUGAUCUAGACAAUACUAGCGAAAGGACAUGCGUGACUUUUGAU